ensembl:lncRNA
UUUCUAAAUAAACAUGCAGUGCAAAGUUAAAUAGUUAAACGCUUCAAAUUAGGCUCUUUUGAAAACCAUUCUGUUAGUUGUGUCUUUCCUGAAAGAAAAGUUUCUGCUUCAUUAAGACGUUUGAGAUUUAGCAGAGAGCAGGAUUUUAAAAGCUAUCAUUCUCGUAUUGUCUACGGUGAUUUUACGGCGUGUUGCAUACGCAUUAAGCAAAGAAACCAUAGUGACCGUGGACUCUUCUACCACUUAGCUUUGCCUUCCCGCGGCACUGUUCAACAACUCAGGCGGGUUGUCAAGCAUCGGGAAUAAAAUGACAGUCGAUCAGCUUCAAGCCUGUGUUGUUUGUUUCUGACCCCCCACCUGUGAGAUUCUGCAAAACACGAUAGAAUAAAGCCGCCUCUAAGCUCUUAAGAUAUGUCCCCACUGCUCACGGAUCCGUCAGGAAAGAAUGACCCUCUGUGCACAGUGGGCAGUACAGCCGGGAGGAAAUAUCUGCCUUGACUGUUAAUGACACAACUUAGACAGAACGCCUAUGGAGCGCUGUGUUUUUCAUGUUGCUCUCCUCUUUUUCUUUCCCCCAUUAAACGGAGUUCUUGUCUACGUGGAAUAAGCUACAAAACAUGCGUUCCCACAAAAUGGGUCCUGUUGACCCGCGACGUCCGUUUGGCUGUUUGCAGUUCCUCACAAUUACGACGGGUCCGUCUCCAGACAGCUCGGAGGGGCCCGGCUCGUCCCUCUGACUGUGCGCCGCGCUGACGGAUCGAUGGACACCGCAGUUAAUACCUCCUCUCUAUUUUGGUCCAGCUGUGGAAUGUUUAUCGCUGAUGGACACACCCGUCCGCUGUUCUUCCCUUCACCAGAUCAAGGCUUCGCUCCCCCUGGGGACGACCUGUCGGUCGCAGGCUGUUCAAAGUGAUCUGAGUCACUGUCUGCAAAAUCAAUAGUUUUCUUCCCGCUGCGCCUCCUUCCCUGUUUACUACCUCCUCGUGGCACUGUGCAAAGUUCUCUUGUCUUAAUGGAACAUUGUUUGGAUCAAUUAAUCAAGUAAUCAAUGGGCUCAGGGGAGCAGGAAGGAUAGAGUCCCAGGGAGGAACGAUGGGACUCAAGGGUCAGGUUCUGUGUCUGCAAAGUCCUUAGGACGGCAGGCCAUUACCGAUAACAAGAUUAUUAUUGGCAAACAGGGGGCACGGGCCUCAGAGUUUGUGACCUGGAAUUUGGAUUUUUUUUAAAAGAAUGGAUUAAGAAUUUAUGUUCACUAUGUGGAGAUAGUCACAUGUUACAACAGUGAACUAAUGUAACUUAAAGCCACGUAAGCAGGGUAAUGCCUUGGCAGGUCCUUUUCUUCAGCACAGUACAUUUAAAACCAUCUGAUGUAUCGUGUAAAUAGCUUGAAAUGAAAUGACUCAUACAAAAAGAAAGUCUAUUCAUACUAAAAACUGACUUUUUUUUUUUUAAACAACGACACUCAGUUGCAGUGCCAAGUUUCAUUAAAUCUGAGGAAUCAUCUUUCCAGGAUUCUAAUGGAUUUUUUGAAGGAUAAUCCAUUAUCUUGUGUUGUAAGAAACCGAGCACACAAACCGCACACACACAAGCACACACACGCACACACGCAGUUAUCUGUUCAGGAUGGAGGCAGAGAGCCUGAGGCCGGGAGAAAAACGAUGGCCUGUGAGAAAGUGAUGUCAAACUUAAAUGUGCAGAGAGCCUUCUCCUCUUCCUCGUGGUCCGGCAGCAAGAGAUCUGCAGCCGCACCAUAACUCUCCCACCAGACGCUGAAAAGGCUGAAAGCCAUUUGUCUCUCAAUCGAAUAUUUGUCCAGUGCCUGCACACCAGCAGAGGCUCCCCGAGCUGAUUAUGUUAAGUGGUUGUUCGAUAUGUAACAUGUUACAAAGCGUUUUUUUUGGGAUAGUUUUUAAUCAUCCAACAUUGACUGGCGCAGCAGCAGGACUAAAUGUCCUGUACAAGCCACGCGUUAAACAGUUUAGGUUUCGUUGUGCAGUAAGUAAAUACACUACCAAUUAAAACUACAACUUUCUUAAGAAAAUCUCCACCUGUAUAGUAACAAUUUUAUUAAAACCACAAGAAAUCAAAAUAAAAAGCUUGAAUAUCAUAAUGUGUGUCUUUUUUUCAUCAGGCACCUCUUACAAACAACAACACAUGUGACCACUUUCUCUGUGUUGGUUUAUUGCGGAAAGGAGUAACCAGGUGAUGUUUCAAGGGCAAUUAUCCUUAAAAGGCAUUGGGAACUAAAAGCCUCCAAACUAACUGGUCCACACGUCGAGGUCUCGGUGAAACACUCGGAAGUCAUCACGGGGGGCCAGUGGCAGCUCUACAAAGAAAAGUGAGCUAUUUUUACUCAGGAAAUUGCCUUAAACUUAAAGCGUGGUUGAGAACUGCGGCUUAGUGUGUCAAAGUGUCUCUGGAACCCGGAGAGAAUCAGGAUAAAAACAAGGCCGGAAGCAACAACUAGAGGCUUUUUAGAGUUUUUUUCAAAAAUAUCUACAAAACAGUUGCUGUAAUCAUCAGAUUUGAACAGAUAUUUCUUCUAUGGAGAUCAUAAAUAUUCAGAAUAUUUUUCAUGGCCAUUGCAUUUACUCAUUAAAGUAUUUUUAUUCCUCGUGAAAAUAAGCAUAUUAUCUUGGGUUUCUGGUAAACGUCCACAGACGUAGAUGUGCAUUAUGGUUGCUUGACGCAAUAGAAACAAUUGUAAACCAAUUACGCAGAAUGUUGUCGGAUGAAUGGGCCUCAUUAAAAUGAUCCACAUCGAAGCCCUUUCCAUGCAUGCCUUUAAAACAGUAGUUUCACAGCUUGUAAGUAUUGGCAUCCACCACAAGUGGGAAAUAAUUGUCUACUCGUUGUUUGUGAUCAGAAGUUCUAAAUGGUCACUCAGAUUUUUGAUGUUCGCCGAACUCUUUAAAUGUGUACACAAAUUUGCAAAUGGGCACUGAGAUUUAUAAACGUGUUAACAAACCUGUACAUUUGUGCACACAUUUGUAAAUGGGAAUUAGAUGAAUACCUGUGUAUCGUAAAGUACAACUUGAAAAAAUGAAAAAAAGACAAUUCAUAAAUUGUCAACCAAGGUCUUUUAUAAUUUUACUUUUGCUUUACUGUCGUACCCGUGUAUAUGUGGCGAUCUGUCUGCAGCUACAGGUUGUCUUAAGCCACAGGUCCAACGUUAUAUGCCACACUGCUUGGCGAGAACUUUGCCCCAGUGGCUGUUAAACUUUGAAUACACAAGCAGUGGCUGCAGCUUCAGAUCGAUGCAGUUCCCUGUUGGAAGUACGUUUGUUCAUUUCGUACAAUAGCUACCCUGAGCAUAUAGCCCAGCAACAUAGGCUUAGUCUCUUCACCAAACCGAUUGAAACCAACAAUCUGACACAAACAAACUGAAAAUAACCAAAAAAAGAAAUGAUUGGUUAAUGAGGCUGACACCUUUACUUACUACUCUCUUUUGACAUUUGAAUCAUAAUUUAAUGAUUGAAAUGUCAAAGCUCAAUGACGGAAAUUACGCGUCAGAUGUAUGAUUAGUUAAUUAUCGGCACACCUUCCAUGUUCUGUACUGUGUAUUGCAGAUUGUACUAUGUUAAAUAUUAGAGGUGCGGCAGUAUUGAGGACCGGAUUUUAAAAGUCUUAUAAUCCUGAGAGCGGUGACAACAAAACAAGACCCCUAUGUCCUUGUUAGAAAAGGACCACUAAUGCAUCAGAUUAAAGAAAGCAGUGGGGCCUGCAAAUGCUCAGGGAUUUAGGGCACACACUGAAGUUUACUCUGCAAAAACACAUUACGCCUUUGCAAACAAACAGCACAACAUCCUUGACAUCAUCCUCUCCCACUGGAUCUUCCCGUAGUAAUUCUUUCAUCUCUUUAUUGGGCUUACACAUCCUGAACAGUUUCAUUCGGAGAAAAGGAAAUCCAUCUACGGUGUUUUUGAUGUGAAAAAGCAAUAUUGCUCAUGCGGCUUACCUCGCCGCUACCUUUCCCACAUUAAAACAUUACUCACGCUAAAAAAAGCAGCUUAGAAAAAUUAAAUCACCAUGUGUCCUGACAGCUCAAUAGAUUUGUGUCUCCACUUGGAUACACAAGAAGACACGAUUAAUCCUCUGCUGUGGCUGGGCACAGCGCAGAACUCUACAUCACAGUAAUUACUAUCAUCCAUGCCAAUUUUCAGAUGACAAUAGAAAUCUAAAAAGAUAAAUAAAUAAAUAAAGUCAAUGUAAUUACAACACUCCCGUCAUGUCCUCGAGUCGGUCACAUUUUUUAGGGUAGCUUGUUGUUGUUGCAGUGUAGUGUGUGUGUGUGUGUGUGUGUGUGUGUGUGUGUGUGUGUGUGUGUGUGUGUGUGUGUGUGUG